CACGUAGGGGUGCGAGCGUUGUCCGGAAUUAUUGGGCGUAAAGAGCUCGUAGGCGGUGUGUCGCGUCGGCCGUGAAAACCUGCAGCUUAACUGUGGGCUUGCGGUCGAUACGGGCAUCACUGGAGUUCGGCAGGGGAGACUGGAAUUCCUGGUGUAGCGGUGAAAUGCGCAGAUAUCAGGAGGAACACCGGUGGCGAAGGCGGGUCUCUGGGCCGAUACUGACGUGGAGGAGCGAAAGCGUGGGGAGCGAACAGG
rnacentral:rRNA from 1 species